AUCAAGAGGAAGAAGCUGUUGUGGUUUAAAAUUUGUAGCGCAGAGUUGGAUUGCGAGUUCAAGUGGCCUACAAGAUAUUUGAGUGUGUCCAUGUAAAAUGAGCAGUCUAGCAGGUGUUUUUUGUUCUAGUUUUAAUAUGUAACCAUCAAGCGUGAUUGUGUCAUGAACACCUACCUCAUUUGAAGAGUGUGUACAUCUACCUCAAUGAAGACUUGUAAAAGAAUAUGUGGACUGAAAGUGCAGUGGCUGAAUCUCAAAAUGCACACACAGCAGUGGAGAUCUUUAUUGUUAGGGCGGAGGAUGCUGGUCCUGGGGACAGCCCUACAAAUGCUGGUGUAGAAGUUCUGCAGAGUGUCACAAUUGGAUUGGAUGGACUUUUUGGGUUCAUGUACACUUAGGGGUUUUUUUUUAACCAGAAAUGAAAACGUUUAAUUAUUUAUGCUGUACCAAACAUUGAUUUGUCUUCAUAGUACAAAUUAAGAUACUUCAGGCGAAAUCUGAGAGCUCUCUCAUUCUCUAUAGACAGCAAUGGUCCCAACUUGUUUAAAGUCCAGAGAAAUGUCUAAAACAUCCUCAAAACAGACCACAUGCUUUCAGUUGUUCAAUCAGAAUAUUUUUAAGCUACAAUAAUAAUUCUGAGCAUAUAAAGCAAAAAUAACAGCCUUUGAGUUUCUUCUG